AACGAACGCUGGCGGCAUGCCUAACACAUGCAAGUCGAACGCGACCUUCGGGUCUAGUGGCGCACGGGUUCGUAACGCAUGGGAACCUGCAUUUAGGUUCGGAAUAACCUCCAGUCAGGGGUGCUCAUACCGAAUAAUGUCUUAGGACCAAAGUGUCAUCGCCUUUGGAUGGGCCCUCGUUGGAUUGGUUUGUUGGUAGGGUAAAAGCCUACCAACGCGACGCUUCAUAGCUGGUUGGUGAGGUUGACCAGCCACACUGGGACUGCGACACGGCCCAGACUCCUACGGAGGGCAGCAGUGGGGAGUAUUAGACAAUGAACGAAGGCCUGAUCCAGCAGUGCGGCGGGAGUGAUGAAGGCCUUAGGGUUGUAAAUCUCUUUUACCCGGGAUGAUAAUGACAGUACCGGGAGAAUAAGCGCCGGCUAACUCCGUG
rnacentral:rRNA from 1 species